GGCGCUUUGGCGGAGUGGUUAACGCGAUGCCCUGCUAUGAAUUUCCGAAAUUUCCGGAAUUUCUGGAAUUUCCGGUCCAUAGCAAGUUAGGCAUUUCCUUCGGGAGCGCAGGUUCGAAUCCUGCAGGCGUCG